UUUGAGAGAACAAUCAAUUGUGCAUUGUUGUACAGAGAGGAGUAUUUGUAUGUAUAGGUAGUGAUGAUGCCAAAAAUCAUACUUAGCAUAUCACGAACUUGUUGCUUGAAUACCGAGCCUGAGGAUUGAGUAAGAGCACGAGCAAAAGCUUCCGGUACCUGAAACAAAGGCAACAAUGUGUGUUCUCGUCGUCCCUCUAAUGUUUAAGUCAGACAGGGAAUUGUGCAAAAAUAUAUGCUGUAAUUGUAUUGUAAAAACAUACCUGAAUAAUGGAGCUGAAUCCUGUAUUUAUAGACGUUGGUGGUUGAGUUCUAAGAGGAUUCAACCACCUAUGAUCCCUAUCUUGUAUAGUGUUUGAGUUAUAUCACAAUUAUCACUUUGAGUUUGGCAUGAAUUGUAAUACGUUUAGUAUUUGGAUGAGUACGACCGGUUGAGUCAUAGGAGGACUAAAACUCGUAAGAUGCUUGAGACAAGGGCAUGAGAAAUAAUAUUUUCAUUAUGUGGGCUCGACCUUAAUAAGGUUCGACUAUUAGGCCCGACCUCUAAGAGGCUUGACCACAUUUUAGAGGAUUUUUGGAGACGAGAGUGCGUGGGGGUAUUAACCUCGGGCCAUGCUCGAAAGUUUGGGGUCGGGUUGUAAUUUUUGUGCAUAUCAUAGGCCCCUGUGCAUCCAUGUCAGGAGCUCGUACGCAAUGUGGGAGUUUUUGGCAUGAGAUGCAUAAGUAUAUUAAGUUCAAAAAUAGGCAUGCUCAUGUCAAGUCGAUAGGCCCCCGAGCACACGGAUCUAGGAUAGCAAGUAUUGACUAUUUUAAAAGUUUGAAAGGAAUAAGCUUGAUCUCAAGGCUCGUUAGAAAUUUUUCAGAGAACUGAGCUCGACUUCGACCUUGUAAGAGAAUUUGGCAUGAAUGAGCUCAACCUCGAGCUUUAUCAGUACUUGAAGUUGAAGAGCUUGACCUCGAGCUUUGUUAAAAGACUUGAAGUGAAAAAGCUUGAUCUCGAGCAUUGUCAAAAACUUGAAGUGAAAAAAGCUUGAUCUUGAGCUUUGUCAAAAACUCAAGAUUUGCCAAAGAUUUGAAAUGAAAGAACUCGACCUCGAGCUUUCAAAAUUUGAAGUGAAAGAGCUUAACUUGGAGUUUGUCAAAACUUUUAAAGUAAGGGCUGAGCCCCCACUUUUGUUUAAAAAUUGGAAGGAAUGAGCUUUAGCUCGAUCUUUAUUAAAGGUUUUGAAAUGAAGGAGCUUAACGAAUAGGUAAAGAACCAUAUAAGAGACUAAGCUCAAGCAUAAGGUCGAUCCUAUUCUAAGUAUAAUCAUCCCAAGCUCUUUGUCUUGGAUUUUGACAAUGUAUUGAGCUCGAGGAUAGGCCCCCGAGCUCUGAGGCUAGUUAUGCUCAAUAAGCUUGAGAUGAAAAAAUGUGGUCGGGAUUUUUACUUGAAGCUGAAAUUUUGCGAUGUAUGAAUAGGGCGACGUUUAGAAUGCUUGCACAGGGCAAGACUCAUGUUCUUGCUCGGGGCAAGACUUUAUGCUAGACUAGCUGCAUGCGCGAGGCAUGACCUUACGCUAGGCGUUAGAGAUAAUUUAGUUGCAUGCUCGGGGCACUUCCUUACGCUAGAUGUAAGAGAUGAUGUAGCUGCAUGCUCGAGGCAUGACCUUACGCUAGAUGUAAGAUUGAUUUAGUUGCAUGCUCGAGGCACGGCCUUACGUUAAAUGUAAGAGAUGAUUUAACUGCAUGCUCGGGGCACGGCCUUACACUAAAUGUAAGAUAUAGUUUAGCUGCAUGCUCGUAGGGGCAUUGCCUUACGCUAAAUGUAAGAUAUAAUUUAGCUGCAUGCUCGGGGCACGGCCUUACGCUAAAUGUAAGAGAUGAUUUAGCUGUAUGCUCGAGGCACGGCCUUAC
rnacentral:lncRNA from 1 species